AUGAACGCUGGCGGCAUGCCUAACACAUGCAAGUCGAACGAGACCUUCGGGUCUAGUGGCGCACGGGUGCGUAACGCGUGGGAAUCUGCCCUUGGGUUCGGAAUAACAGUGAGAAAUUACUGCUAAUACCGAAUGAUGACGUAAGUCCAAAGAUUUAUCGCCCAAGGAUGAGCCCGCGUAGGAUUAGCUAGUUGGUGAGGUAAAGGCUCACCAAGGCGACGAUCCUUAGCUGGUCUGAGAGGAUGAUCAGCCACACUGGGACUGAGACACGGCCCAGACUCCUACGGGAGGCAGCAGUGGGGAAUAUUGGACAAUGGGCGAAAGCCUGAUCCAGCAAUGCCGCGUGAGUGAUGAAGGCCUUAGGGUUGUAAAGCUCUUUUACCCGGGAUGAUAAUGACAGUACCGGGAGAAUAAGCUCCGGCUAACUCCGUGCCAGCAGCCGCGGUAAUACGGAGGGAGCUAGCGUUAUUCGGAAUUACUGGGCGUAAAGCGCACGUAGGCGGCUUUGUAAGUUAGAGGUGAAAGCCUGGAGCUCAACUCCAGAACUGCCUUUAAGACUGCAUCGCUUGAAUCCAGGAGAGGUGAGUGGAAUUCCGAGUGUAGAGGUGAAAUUCGUAGAUAUUCGGAAGAACACCAGUGGCGAAGGCGGCUCACUGGACUGGUAUUGACGCUGAGGUGCGAAAGCGUGGGGAGGCAAACAGGAUUAGAUACCCUGGUAGUCCACGCCGUAAACGAUGAUAACUAGCUGUCCGGGCACUUAGUGCUUGGGUGGCGCAGCUAACGCAUUAAGUUAUCCGCCUGGGGAGUACGGCCGCAAGGUUAAAACUCAAAUGAAUUGACGGGGGCCUGCACAAGCGGUGGAGCAUGUGGUUUAAUUCGAAGCAACGCGCAGAACCUUACCAGCGUUUGACAUGUCCGGACGAUUUCCAGAGAUGGAUUUCUUCCCUUCGGGGACUGGAACACAGGUGCUGCAUGGCUGUCGUCAGCUCGUGCCGUGAGAUGUUGGGUUAAGUCCCGCAACGAGCGCAACCCUCGCCUUUAGUUACCAUCAUUCAGUUGGGUACUCUAAAGGAACCGCCGGUGAUAAGCCGGAGGAAGGUGGGGAUGACGUCAAGUCCUCAUGGCCCUUACGCGCUGGGCUACACACGUGCUACAAUGGCGGUGACAGUGGGCAGCAAUCCCGCGAGGGUGAGCUAAUCUCCAAAAGCCGUCUCAGUUCGGAUUGUUCUCUGCAACUCGAGAGCAUGAAGGCGGAAUCGCUAGUAAUCGCGGAUCAGCAUGCCGCGGUGAAUACGUUCCAGGCCUUGUACACACCGCCCGUCACACCAUGGGAGUUGGGUUCACCCGAAGGCGUUGCGCUAACUCGCAAGAGAGGCAGGCGACCACGGUGGGCUUAGCGACUGGGGUG
rnacentral:rRNA from 1 species